CCACAGACCUUUUGGCAGCUGCUCUGUGGGCCUGAAGAAGUCACUUCUGCAUAAUUACUCUGGAAGAGACUUGGAAGGACCAAGAAUGACUAUCUGCAGCUGAGCCUCAUCUUUAUUGAAAUGCCUGAAAUUUGACACAAUAUUCUGUUAUUUUCCUGAGAGCUUAAGUUCAGUUCAAAAUCUGAAACUCGUCAGCUUUCUUUUGUUCCCAAGCGUAGAAACCGUGUUUGCCCUCUUCUUGUUCCAUGCCUGUGCUUUGUCGAAAUAUUGUCAUAAAAUAAGAUGUGAAGCACCAGAGAAUUAUCCUAUGACAGUGUAUAUGCUGCUGAAUAAUCUGUUUUGCAUGGU